UUAAAACCCUAAUAUAUGCCUUUCUCUCCCGAUCCGCCGCCCUCCUCCUCUUUUUCUUUUCAAAGAAGUCACAGGAACAAUCAUAAUCAUCUUCAUCUAUACUACAUCACUCGAUUACUCCCCUAUUCCUUCUCUAGCUAUUUCUAUCUCACAAAUCGUUCUGAUUAUUUUUUGGGGGGUUGAUUCUUUAGCUUUAAUGUUGACUAGAUUCAUGAAAACAAACUCUUGUUGAAAUCUAAUUCUGAGUGUUUGUUUAUGUAUUUUUGUAUUAUUGUUUUUUUACAGAUUGGAAAUGUUUGAAUUGAUCUUCCAACAAGUGAAGGAAAAUCUGGUGCCAAUGUUGCUUAGCAUGCCGACCAUGGAAUUCUCAGCUGAAGAUGCUGAUAUGCAAUGCAGUUGAAAUCAUGAACAUGGAUAUGCCUACGAAAGAUAAUGAUAAGGAAUCUCAAGAGGGGGGUGGAGAGGUUUGAACACUAUAUAGAGAAUAUGAAGACGGGAAAAAAGAAGGGGAGGCUGAGCAAGAGUAUCGCGAAGAAUAAGACCAUAAUAUAAUGUUCUUUUUCAUUGUUGUGGUAUGCUUAUAGACUUCAACACAAUCUGAUCAUGAAUGAUGUGAACUUCAACAAUUUUAUUAGGAGUCCGAAGUUAUCUAAAGGAUAUACUCUACCAUUUCAGUUGGAAAACUUGUAAGUUAUAUGGAAUUAAAUGAACCUCCUGUAAGAUAUGUGAUUACUGCUUGGGCCUCUAGAUAUGUUUCCCUUUUCAAUUGUCUGCGCUGUUUGAUGGUUUGCAUGUCCACUUUCCAGAUGACUUACAAGCACAUUAUCUGUGUUGAUGUGGGUUUCCUCUUUGAAGAUUUGGCAAAUGAAUUGAACAUAAUUAGAGUUGAAUGUUUUUACAGACUUCGUUUCGGGGGUUUCAUCUAUCUUUUGGUUCAGGAUAUAUAAUACACUAUGUCGAAACCAAAUCUGUUAAGCGGGAUGGUGCUUAUUGAUGAGACAAUGUUGUUCGUGACACAGUCUUUCCUCCUGCUUUUCAAAGUGCCACCUACAACUGAAGAAGGUUUCUGUCACGUGUUUGAUGUCAUUGUAUUUUUUUAUUUUAUUUUUCUAAUUAUAAUUGUUGUAGCCUUGUAGGAGUAGAGUAGUAUGUGAUACAGAUUUAUAAAGAUUUCAUUUUUGGUGUAAUGUACCGUUCCACGGCCCAACACAAUGAUUUUUUUUUUUUUGGAAUA